rnacentral:rRNA from 1 species
GAUGAACGCUGGCGGCGUGCCUAAUACAUGCAAGUCGAGCGAACAGACGAGGAGCUUGCUCCUCUGACGUUAGCGGCGGACGGGUGAGUAACACGUGGAUAACCUACCUAUAAGACUGGGAUAACUUCGGGAACCCGGAGCUAAUACCGGAUAAUAUAUUGAACCGCAUGGUUCAAUAGUGAAAGCCGGUUUUGCUGUCACUUAUAGAUUGAUCCGCGCCGCAUUAGCUAGUUGGUAAGGUAACGGCUUACCAAGGCGACGAUGCGUAGCCGACCUGAGAGGGUGAUCGGCCACACUGGAACUGAGACACGGUCCAGACUCCUACGGGAGGCAGCAGUAGGGAAUCUUCCGCAAUGGGCGAAAGCCUGACGGAGCAACGCCGCGUGAGUGAUGAAGGUCUUCGGAUCGUAAAACUCUGUUAUUAGGGAAGAACAAAUGUGUAAGUAACUAUGCACGUCUUGACGGUACCUAAUCAGAAAGCCACGGCUAACUACGUG